rnacentral:rRNA from 1 species
UACAGCAAAAACACUUUGAAUGUACCUAAACUCAUCAGAUCUUAGAAGCUAAGCAGGGUUGGGCUUGAUUAAUACUUGGACAAGCUACCUCAUGAGAAUACCAAGUUUUACUAGGC